UGGGGAAUAUUGCACAAUGGGCGCAAGCCUGAUGCAGCCAUGCCGCGUGUGUGAAGAAGGCCUUCGGGUUGUAAAGCACUUUCAGCGAGGAGGAAGGUGGUGAGCUUAAUACGCUCAUCAAUUGACGUUACUCGCAGAAGAAGCACCGGCUAACUCCGUGCCAGCAGCCGCGGUAAUACGGAGGGUGCAAGCGUUAAUCGGAAUUACUGGGCGUAAAGCGCACGCAGGCGGUUUGUUAAGUCAGAUGUGAAAUCCCCCGGGCUCAACCUGGGAACUGCAUUUGAAACUGGCAAGCUAGAGUCUCGUAGAGGGGGGCUAGAAUUCCAGGUGUAGCGGUGAAAUGCGUAGAGAUCUGGAGGAAUACCGGUGGCGAAGGCGGCCCCCCUGGACGAAGACCGACGCUCAGGUGCGAAAAGCGUGGGGCAGCAAACAGGAUUAGAUACCCUGGUAGUCCACGCUGUAAACGAUGUCGAUUUGGAGGUUGUGCCCCUUGAGGCGUGGCUUCCGGAGCUAACGCGUUAAAGUCGACCGCC
rnacentral:rRNA from 1 species